GAUGAACGCUGGCGGCGUGCCUAAUACAUGCAAGUCGAGCGAACAGAUGAGGAGCUUGCUCCUCUGACGUUAGCGGAGGACGGGUGAGUAACACGUGGAUCACCUGCCUAUAAGACUGGUAUAACUUCGGGAAACCGGAGAUAAUACGGGAUAAUAUAUUGAACCGCAUGGUUCAAUAGUGAAAGACGGUUUUGCUGUCACUUAUAGAUGGAUCUGCGCCGCAUUAGCUAGUUGGUAAGGUAACGGCUUACCAAGGCAACGAUGCGUAGCCGACCUGAGAGGGUGAUCGGCCACACUGGAACUGAGACACGGUCCAUACUCCUACGGGAGGCAGCAGUAGGGAACCUUCCGCAAUGGGCGAAAGCCUGACGGAGCAACGCCGCGUGAGUGAUGAAGGUCUUCGGAUCGUAAAACUCUGUUAUUAGGGAAGAACAAAUGUGUAAGUAACUAUGCACGUCUUGACGGUAACUAAUCAGAAAGCCACGGCUAACUACGUG
rnacentral:rRNA from 1 species